UUUGAGGGUUUGAUCCUGGCCCAGGAUGAACGCUAGCGGCGUGCUUUAGGUAUGCAAGUGGAACGGCUCGUGCGGAGCACGGGCGACUUAAGACUGAAAACCGAAGACUUAAAUUUAAGUUUUUAGUGUUAAGUUUUAAGUUGCCCACGCUCUGCGUGAGCAGUCGCGAACGGCUGAGUAACACGUAGGAACGUACCUUCUAGUGGAGCAUAGCUCCUCGAAAGAGGGGGUAAUUCUCCAUACGGUGGGUGGAGAUUUAAGGGUGAAAUUAAGAUCCUUUUUGGAAAUUUUGCUUUUAAGUCUCCAUCUAUCAAAGAGAGUAACUUCUCGCUGGAAGAGCGGCCUGCGGCCUAUCAGCUAGUUGGUAGGGUAACGGCCUACCAAGGCAAUGACGGGUAGGGGGCGUGAGAGCGUGUACCCCCAGAAUGGCACUGAGAAACGGGCCAUACACCUACGGGUGGCGCAACCGGGAAUCGUGCGCAAUGGGCGAAAGCCUGACGCUGCGACGCCGCGUGAGGGAUGAAGGCCUAAGUGGUUGUAAACCUCUUUUGCCAGGUACCAUACGGUACUUGGAGAAUAAGCACCGGCUAACUCCGUGCCAGCAGCAGCGGUAAUACGGAGGGUGCAAGCGUUAUCCGGAUUCAUUGGGCGUAAAGGGUUCGUAGGCGGUCCGAUAAGUCGUGCUUUAAAGACCCCAGCUUAACUGGGGAAAGGGGCGCGAUACUGUCGGACUUGAAAAAUCUAGGGGCUUACCGGAACUGUCGGUGUAGGGGUGAAAUCCGUUGAUAUCGACAGGAACACCUAGGGCGAAGGCAGGUAGCUGGGGAUUUUCAGGUACCAUUCGGUACCUGACCAGGCACAGUAUAGUGCUUGGUUUGACGCUGAGGGACGAAAGCUAGGGGAGCGAAAGGGAUUAGAGACCCCUGUAGUCCUAGCUGUAAACGAUGCUCGCUAGGGAUAGGGCUCGCAAAGGAUGUAUCCUUUGCGAAAACUCCAAACAAUAUAUAAAUGUAAAGUUUUAUAAAUUUAUUUAAUUUAGUUUUGUUUGGAAGUUUGGAUUUUUGGAUGAUUUGGCGUUUUUCGCAAAAAUGCUGAUGCAUUUUUUGCGAGCUCUGUCCCGCAAGCUAACGCGUUAAGCGAGCCGCCUGGGGAGUACGAGCGCAAGCUUAAAACUCAAAGGAAUUGACGGGGACCCGCACAACCAGUGGAGCAUGUGGUUUAAUUCGAGAUGAACCGAAGAACCUUACCUGGGCUUGACAUCCGCCUUUUCCUGCCCUGGAAACAGGGAAAGGGCCCGCCGUAAGGCGGGGAAGGCGAGACAGGUGUUGCAUGGCCGUCGUCAGCUCGUGCCGUGGGGUGUUCCCUUCAGUGGGGUAACGAGCGCAACCCCUGCCGUAUGUUAAAUUGUUCAUACGGGACAUCCUGAGUUUAUCGAAGGAGGAAGUGGGGACGACGUCAGGUCAGCAUGGCCCUUAUGUCCAGGGCGACACACAUGCUACAAUGGAGCCGACAAAGGGUUGCCAAGCGGUAACGCGGAGCUAAUCUCAAAAACGGCUUCUUCAGUGGGGAUUGAGGGCUGAAACCCGCCCUCAUGAACGCGGAAUUGGUAGUAAUCGCGGAUCAGCCAAGCCGCGGUGAAUACGUUCUCGGGUCUUGUACACACCGCCCGUCAAGUCAGUAAAGUUGGGGGCACCCGAAUUUCGGAUGUUCCGGAGUAAGGUGAAACCAGCGAUAAGGAUUAAGUCGUAACAAGGUAUCCGUUCUGGAAGGAGCGGAUGGAUCACCUCCUUUCUAA
rnacentral:rRNA from 1 species